ACGUAGGUACCGAGCGUUAUCCGGAUUUACUGGGCGUAAAGCGUGUUCAGGCGGCCUGGCAAGUCGGGCAUGAAUCUCUCGGCUCAACCGGGAGAGGCUGUCCGAUGACUGCUGGGCUUGAGGACGGUAGAGGGUGGUGGAAUUCCGCGUGUAGUGGUGAAAUGCGUAGAUAUGCGGAGGAACACCAGUGGCGAAGGCGGCCACCUGGACCGUCCUGACGCUCAA
rnacentral:rRNA from 1 species